rnacentral:rRNA from 1 species
CCCUUAGAUGUUCUGGGCCGCACGCGUGCUACACUGAGUGGAUCAGCGGGUCAGGUUGCGCGAAAGCGUUUCCUAAUCUUUAAAUCCGCUCGUAAUGGGGAUUGACGGUUGCAAUUUUCUGUCAUGAACGAGGAAUACCUUGUAAGCGCGGGUCAUCAUCCCGCGCUGAAUACGUCCCUGCCCUUUGUACACACCGCCCGUCGCUCCUACCGAUUGAGUGGUCCGGUGAGGCUUUGGGAUCUGAGCGGAAAGAGCGUUUCGCUGUUUCUGCUCGGAAAACUCAGUCGAACCUUAUCAUUUAGAGGAAGGAGAAGUCGUAACA